GCAGUAUACAAAAGAUGUGAUCCGAACUCAGCCUGAAGAUCUUCUUCAGUGGUCUCAAAAGUACUUCACUGCUCUGGUGAAAGGACAGCCUCUACCAGUGUGUCAACCAUCUGAUCGCCAUGCAUUAUAUGCUGUAAGGAAUCUCACUCCUGAAAUUUUGAGAGGACUUCAUUUCCAGUUCCACAAGCAAAGGAUGGUAAGCCAGAAGGACAUUAGGCUGGUAUGGAAGUCACUGAAUCUGGCUGAGAACUGCCUCAGUGAGGCUUUUACACUGGGCCGCUUUGGGGAGCGGAUGGAGUGGAUGAAGUUCUUCACUCUUUGCUGUAACUAUCUUGGAGGGAAUAUCAGACAGGCGCUGGUCCAGGCCUGCUAUAUACUGAACUCGGACCCUCAGUGCCAGCCCCCUGAUGCUUGUGUUCCAUUCCACCUGUUCAAAUGUCUGCUUUUCUAUCUGGUGUAUGUGACCAACAAGAUCACCCGAAAACAGGCUGAGGAAACACUGUCUGUUCUUCAACAGCAAACGAAUAAUGGGGUGGUGAAGGUAUCAGACUUCAUCAAUGACUAUAAACUCAUCCUGGAUUCAACUCAGUGAUCUCUUCCAAGAACACAAUUUAUUUUAAUAUAAU